rnacentral:ncRNA from 1 species
GUAAAGUUUUAUUCUUGCUUUUUCGUUCAGUUUUUGUUUGUUUUAUAUGUAAGUUUAUGCGUGAUUUUCUUUAAUUCUAGAUGGAUUUAUUGUUGAUUUAUUCUCAUUAGUUAGUAUUGGUUGGUCAAGUGUUCUUGUAUUUAGCAAUUCAUUUUAGUUUCGGUUAAAUUUUGUGCCAGCAGCCGCGGUUAUACCUUGGAGGCGUUUGAAUGUGUUCGGCGUAUGAUAGUUUUAUGGUUUGAUUUAGGUUGAUUUUGUUUUGGUUGUUUUUUGGGUGAAAUUUUUAUUGCCGUUAUUGUCUAUUAUUUUCUUGUAAGCUGUGAAAUUCUUUUUGUAGACUAGGAUUAGAUACCCUAUUAUUUUGGAAUGUUAAUAUUUUGUGUCUGAGUAGUAUUAGUUAUGUUCUUGAAACUUAAAGAAUUUGGCGGUAUCUUAUUCCAUCCAGAGGAAUCUGUCUCGUUAUCGAUAGUCCGCGUUGGACCUUACUUAGUUGCUUUGGUUUGUAUACCGCCGUUUAUUGAUUAUCUUUUUAGAGUUUAUUUAAUUUUCUGGUUUCUUUAUUUGGAUUUAUUUCAGGUCAAGGUGCAGCUUGUUUCUAAGUGGUAAGAUGGAUUACAUUAUUAUUUGGUUAUUGGAUUGUAAGUUUUAACAUUUAUAUGAAAUUGGAUUUGGUUGUAAUGUUUUGUAGAUUGUUUUCGUGAUAAUUGGUUCUGGGAUAUGUACACAUCGCCCGUCGCUCUCGUUUAUUUUAAUGAGAUAAGUCGUAACAAAGUGGUUGUACCGGAAGGUGCGGCUGGAUUGAU